CCUACGGGAGGCAGCAGUGGGGAAUAUUGGGCAAUGGGCGCAAGCCUGACCCAGCAACGCCGCGUGAAGGAAGAAGGCUUUCGGGUUGUAAACUUCUUUUCUGAGGGACGAAGAAAGUGCCGGUACCUCCGGAAUAAGCCACGGCUAACUACGGGCCAGCAGCCGCGGUAAUCCGUAGGUGGAAACCGUUAUCGGGAUUUAUUGGGUGUAAGGGGCGUGUAGGCGGGAUAGAAAGUCAGAUGUGAAAACUCAGGGCUCAACCCUGAACCUGCAUUUGAAACUGUUUUUCUUGAGUGCUGGAGAGGCAAGCGGAAUUCCGGGUGUAGCGGUGAAAUGCGUAGAUAUAAGGAGGAACACCAGUGGCGAAGGCGGAUUGCUGGACAGCAACUGACGCUGAGGCGCGAAAGCGUGGGGAGCAAACAGGAUUAGAUACCCCUGUAGUC
rnacentral:rRNA from 1 species